rnacentral:rRNA from 1 species
CUCCCAUAUGGUCGACCUGCAGGCGGCCGCGAAUUCACUAGUGAUUCGUAUUACCGCGGGUGCUGGCACGUAGUUAGCCGGUGCUUAUUCUUACGGUACCGUCAUUAGCCUUCUUUAUUAGAAAAGACCGUUUCGUUCCGUACAAAAGCAGUUUACAACCCGAAGGCCUUCAUCCUGCACGCGGCAUGGCUGGAUCAGGCUUUCGCCCAUUGUCCAAAAUUCCCCACUGCUGCCUCCCGUAGGAGUCUGGGCCGUGUCUCAGUCCCAGUGUGGCUGGUCGUCCUCUCAGACCAGCUACAGAUCGAAGGCUUGGUGAGCCUUUACCUCACCAACUACCUAAUCUGCCAUCGGCCGCUCCAUUCGCGCAAGGUCUUGCGAUCCCCUGCUUUCAUCCGUAGAUCGUAUGCGGUAUUAGCACAGCUUUCGCUGCGUUAUCCCCCACGAUUGGGCACGUUCCGAUGUAUUACUCACCCGUUCGCCACUCGCCGCCAGGAUUGCUCCCGCGCUGCCGUUCGACUUGCAUGUGUAAGGCAUGCCGCCAGCGUUCAAUCUGAGCCAUGAUCAAACUCUAAUCGAAUUCCCGCGGCCG